rnacentral:rRNA from 1 species
UACGGGGGGGCAAGCGUUGUUCGGAAUUACUGGGCGUAAAGGGCUCGUAGGUGGCCAACUAAGUCAGACGUGAAAUCCCUCGGCUUAACCGGGGAACUGCGUCUGAUACUGGAUGGCUUGAGUUCGGGAGAGGGAUGCGGAAUUCCAGGUGUAGCGGUGAAAUGCGUAGAUAUCUGGAGGAACACCGGUGGCGAAGGCGGCAUCCUGGACCGACACUGACACUGAGGAGCGAAAGCCAGGGAGCAAACGGG